rnacentral:misc_RNA from 1 species
UCCGAGUUGACCCCGGCAGUCUCCCAUGAGUCCCCGGCAUAACCCGCUGGCAACAUGGAACGAGGGUUGCGCUCGUUGCGGGACUUAACCCAACAUCUCACGACACGAGCUGACGACAACCAUGCACCACCUGUAAACCGGCCACAAGUGGCUGACACAUCUCUGCAUCAUUCCGGUUCAUGUCAAGCCUUGGUAAGGUGGGGAUGACGUAAGGAUAG